UACGAAGGGGGCUAGCGUUGUUCGGAAUUACUGGGCGUAAAGCGCACGUAGGCGGAUAUUUAAGUCAGGGGUGAAAUCCUGGAGCUCAACUCCAGAACUGCCUUUGAUACUGGGAAGCUUGAGUCCGGAAGAGGUGAGUGGAACUCCGAGUGUAGAGGUGAAAUUCGUAGAUAUUCGGAAGAACACCAGUGGCGAAGGCGGCUCACUGGUCCGGUACUGACGCUGAGGUGCGAAAGCGUGGGGAGCAAACAGG
rnacentral:rRNA from 1 species